GGAAACGCACAACCGGCGUCCCAUGUGGUUUAAUUCGAAACGAAACGAAGAACCUUACCUAGGUUUGACAUCCCGAUCGUACGUCUUGGAAACAAGAUGGUCAGUUCGGCUGGAUCGGUGACAGCUGCUGCAUGGUUGUCGUCAGCUCGUGUCGUGAGGCGUCCUUUUAAGUAAGGUAACGAGCGCAACCCCUGUCGUAUGUUAAAUGUUCAUGCGAGACUGCCUUGGUGCAACCAAGGAGGAAGGAGGGGACGACGUCAAAUCAGCAUGGCGCUUACAUCUAGGGCUACACACAUGGGGUAAUGGCGAAUACAACGGGUCGCGAGGGAGUAAUCCGGAGCUAAUCCUUUAAAAUUCGCCUCAGUUCGGAUUGUGGGCUGCAAUUCGCCCACAUGAAGGGGAGUCGGUAGUAAUCGCAGGUCAGCUAUACUGCGGUGAAUACGUUCUCGUUUCUU
rnacentral:rRNA from 1 species